GACGAAGGAUCCAAGCGUUGUCCGGAUUUACUGGGUUUAAAGGGUGCGUAGGCGGGGAAUUAAGUCAGUGGUGAAAGCCUACAGCUUAACUGUAGAAUUGCCAUUGAAACUGACUUUCUCGAGUGCGGUUGAGGUGACUGGAAUGUUACAUGUAGCGGUGAAAUGCUUAGAUAUGUAACAGAACACCAAUUGCGAAGGCAGGUCACUAAGCCGUAACUGACGCUGAGGCACGAAAGCGUGGUGAGCAAACAGGAUUAGAUACCCUGGUAGUCCACGCCCUAAACGUUGAAUACUCGGUCUUGGCGAUAUACAGUCAGGGCCCAAGCGAAAGCGUUAAGUAUUCCACCUGGGAAGUACGUUCGCAAGAAUGAA
rnacentral:rRNA from 1 species